CGGUUAAAGAUGGCUUCUAUAAAGUGAAUAUAUAUAUUUAAUUUAUAAAGUUUAACGUGUACAAUUUCGAAAGUGAUGUGACGUUUUGAUUCGGGCUAUAAAUAUAAGCAGAACAUUUUCACUGAAUUUUGUGUCUGGUGAAGACAACUGUUUGGAUGAGAGCCUCUUUGUGUGCUGAGAGCACAAGAACUCGAGCAGGCUGCGUGUGUCAGUACGCAAGGGAUGCAGACGUGAAUGUCGCAGGCCUAGGUGCAGUGUGUGUGUGGAGACCGUUAGCAACAUUUUCCAGCUUUACAAUUUAUAUAACCAAUGCCAGGACGAAUCUUCAACAUGCAUCACAGCAUUGACCUCCAGGAUAAACUCCUUGAGACGCAGGAAAGUGGAUCUGCGGUGCCACUCUACGGUCUAAGCGGGGUUAAACUGAGAAAACCUACUGCGUCUCCGUUACAAGGGCCUGUCCACGGUUUUCAAUACAUUAUCGCUGUAUAGUGUGGGAAUAAAAUCACGCCAGGUCUGUCCGACAGGAGGACAUCUGAUACGGUUCGGAUUCUGUAAGU